rnacentral:lncRNA from 1 species
CUCAAGAGGGGUGUCAUCAUUCAUGGUUAUCCAAAUACCUGUUUAAAAGGAGGGUUACGGUAAGCCAUGUGCCUUUACACUCUAUCAAUAACAUCUAUUACUCUACUCAGCAAUUCUAUUGAAGAAUGUCUGUGAGGAUUCUGUCCACCAGGGGGAGCUGAGAUGCAGUGUUAAUGUUCUCAACCUUUUACUAAGCAUAAUCAGCAACGAUUGAUAGAAGCUUCUCUAUGAAGAACCAUUUCCAUCAAAGGUGAGGAGCAGAGCUGCCACAGGCUUGCUGUGCAGGGCGUUGAAGGUGAAAGCUGAGAGGGAGACAAGCUGCUUGCUGUGAAGAGAACUACAGAGCAUGAAUCAACUUAUCAAGUUUUAUCAGUGCCUGCAUGGGGGAACUCAUGACUCAGCUCCUGGGAAACAAGAAAGGCAGAAUCUCAGACUAUCUGUGGUCCCAGCAAGCAGCAUUCAGAGCAUCAUCUCCAGCGCUGUCUUUCCUUCUGCUCUGGCCUACUCUGCUCUCCUAUACCUUGGGUAAAUGAACGGAGGCAAAGGAACGCUAAUCUUUGGGCAUCGGUUGAAAAAAACUAACAGAAGUCACUGAAAUGAGGAUUUCAAAAAUUCCAAAUCCCAGAAAGCAUGAAUUAUAUUAAAUAACAAUCAAAA